UGGGAAUUUUGGACAAUGGGCGAAGCCUGAUCCAGCAAUGCCGCGUGUGUGAAGAAGGCCUUCGGGUUGUAAAGCACUUUUGUCCGGAAAGAAAUCCUUGGCUCUAAUACAGUCGGGGGAUGACGGUACCGGAAGAAUAAGCACCGGCUAACUACGUGCCAGCAGCCGCGGUAAUACGUAGGGUGCAAGCGUUAAUCGGAAUUACUGGGCGUAAAGCGUGCGCAGGCGGUUUGCUAAGACCGAUGUGAAAUCCCCGGGCUCAACCUGGGAACUGCAUUGGUGACUGGCAGGCUAGAGUAUGGCAGAGGGGGGUAGAAUUCCACGUGUAGCAGUGAAAUGCGUAGAGAUGUGGAGGAAUACCGAUGGCGAAGGCAGCCCCCUGGCCAAUACUGACGCUCAUGCACGAAAAGCGUGGGGGAGCAAAACAGGAUUAGAUACCCUGGUAGUCCACGCCCUAAACGAUGUCAACUAGUUGUUGGGGAUUCAUUUGCCUUAGUAACGUAGCUAACGGUGAAGUUGACCGCCNGGGGAGUACGUCGCAAGAUUAAAACUUAAAUGAAUUG
rnacentral:rRNA from 1 species